rnacentral:misc_RNA from 1 species
UAGAAAGGCCAUGUCUUGGUUUUAGAUUGCGCGGUUCGAUACACCAUCCUAGAGAUGGAAUCCCACGACAACAAAGAUAAUGAAGACGAUGAUGACUUCUUCGACACGCUCCCCGAUUUCCCAUCGGAGAAUUGCUCCGUGACCGAUCAACCUCAACUUUCCACUUCCCCCUCCUCCGACUCUUCACCGCUGCCCGAAAUCUCCUCUCAAAAUGCCCCAUCCGCUGUCAGUUCAUUACGCCGUCGCCCCUCUGUUCG